UACGUAGGGUGCAAGCGUUAAUCGGAAUUACUGGGCGUAAAGCGUGCGCAGGCGGUUUGUAAGUCUGUCGUGAAAGCCCCGGGCUCCAACCUGGGAAUUGCGAUGGAGACUGCAAGGCUUGAAUCUGGCAGAGGGGGGUAGAAUUCCACGUGUAGCAGUGAAAUGCGUAGAGAUGUGGAGGAACACCGAUGGCGAAGGCAGCCCCCUGGGUCAAGAUUGACGCUCAUGCACGAAAGCGUGGGGAGCAAACAGG
rnacentral:rRNA from 1 species